CCUACGGGUGGCUGCAGUGGGGAAUAUUGGACAAUGGGCGAAAGCCUGAUCCAGCCAUGCCGCGUGUGUGAAGAAGGCCUUCGGGUUGUAAAGCACUUUCAGUGGGGAAGAAAGCCUUGGGGCUAAUACCCUCGAGGAAGGACAUCACCCACAGAAGAAGCACCGGCUAACUCCGUGCCAGCAGCCGCGGUAAUACGGAGGGUGCGAGCGUUAAUCGGAAUUACUGGGCGUAAAGCGCGCGUAGGCGGUCUGAUAAGCCGGUUGUGAAAGCCCCGGGCUCAACCUGGGAACGGCAUCCGGAGCUGUCAGGCUAGAGUGCAGGGGAGGAAGGUAGAAGUCCCGGUGUAGCGGUGAAAUGCGAAGCGAGCGGGAGGAGUACAAGUGGCGAAGGCGGCCUUAUGGACUGACACUGACGCGGAGGUGCGAAAGCGUGGGUAGCAAACAGGAUUAGAUACCCGUGUAGUC
rnacentral:rRNA from 1 species